AACGAACGCUGGCGGCAUGCCUAACACAUGCAAGUCGAACGAGACCUUCGGGUCUAGUGGCGCACGGGUGCGUAACGCGUGGGAACCUGCCCUUAGGUUCGGAAUAACUCCCCGAAAGGGGUGCUAAUACCGGAUAAUGUCUUCGGACCAAAGAUUUAUCGCCUUUGGAUGGGCCCGCGUUGGAUUAGCUAGUUGGUAGGGUAAAAGCCUACCAAGGCGACGAUCCAUAGCUGGUCUGAGAGGAUGAUCAGCCACACUGGGACUGAGACACGGCCCAGAAUCCUCCGGGAGGGAGCAGUGGGGAAUAUUGGACAAUGGGCGAAAGCAUGAUCCAGCAAUGCCGCGUGAGUGAUGAAGGCCUUAGGGUUGUAAAGCUCUUUUACCCGGGAUGAUAAUGACAGUACCGGGAGAAUAAGCUACGGCUAACUCCGUG
rnacentral:rRNA from 1 species